rnacentral:rRNA from 1 species
GACGAACGCUGGCGGCGUACUUAACACAUGCCAGUCGUGCGGUAAGGCCCUUUCGGGGGUCCACGAGCGGCGAACGGGUGCGUAACACGUGCGCAACCUGCCCUUCCCUUUGGGAUAACUGCCGGAAACGGUGGCUAAUACCGGAUAUGACUUCCUCACGCAUGUGGGGUGGUGGAAAGCCUUCGGGUGGUGGGGGAUGGGCUCGCGGUCUAUCAGCUUGUUGGUGGGGUGUUGGCCUACCAAGGCUUCGCCGGGUAGCCGGCCUUGGAGGGUGACCGGCCACACUGGGACUGAGACACGGCCCAGACUCCUACGGGAGGCAGCAGGGGGGAAUAUUGGACAAUGGGCGAAAGCCUGAUCCAGCAACGCCGCGUGAGUGAUGACGGCCUUCGGGUUGUAAACCUCUUUCGCCUGCGACGAAGCGAGAGUGACGGUAGCAGGUAAAGAAGCACCGGCCAACUACGUG